rnacentral:rRNA from 1 species
GAUGAACGCUGGCGGCGUGCCUAAUACAUGCAAGUCGAACGAACAGACGAGGAGCUUGCUCCUCUGACGUUAGCGGCGGACGGGUGAGUAACACGUGUAUAACCUACCUAUAAGACUGGGAUAACUUCGGGAAACCGGAGCUAAUACCGGAUAAUAUAUUGAACCGCAUGGUGCAAUAGUGAAAUACGGUGGUUCUGUCACGUAUAGAUGGAUCCGCGCCGCAUUAGCUAGUUGGUAAGGUAACGGCUUACCAAGGCAACGAUGCGUAGCCGACCUGAGAGAGUGAUAGGCCACACUGGAACUGAGCCACGGACAAGAGUACUAAGGGACGGCGCAGUAGCGUACCGUACGCAGUGGGGGAGAGUCUGGCGGAGCAAGCGCGCGUGAGUGAUGACGGUCUUCGGAUCGUAAAGAUGUGUUAUUAGGGAAGAACAAAUGUGUAAGUAAAUAUGGACGUAUUGACGGUACCGAGUCAGAAAGCCACGGCUAACUACGUG